rnacentral:lncRNA from 1 species
AUGGAUAUAAAAAAAAGUUUCCCCGAGUUCCCCUCCGCUUCCCGUUCCCACCGGCGGAGGGACAGAGGAGAAGGAACUGCCCGGGCGAGCAGCCGCGGCCCUCCGGCCGACCGGCCCGUGCUUGGUCCGGAUGUGCCUGGCCCCCGGCCCGCCGAGCCCAUGCGCCUCUCCACCACUGUCAACCUUCCCCUACGAUCUAGCCGGACGGUUAGCGCAGGAAUGAGGAAGUCCGAGCGGGGCUGGAGGGUGCGGGGCGGGCGGGUGGCGGGAGCCGGGCCGGCGCGGCCCCCACUUGCCCGAGUUUGGCUUACCCUGCUGGCAGGUCCGCGCUCGGCCUCCCUGCGCCUGUGGCUCCCGCUCCGGGGCGGCGCGGGCCUGGGGGCCGGGGAAGGGAGAGGCAGCGGUCGGCCGGAGCCGGAGCGGGUCCGGGUGCGGGGUGGGCCGGCUUGGGUCCGGGCCGGCAGGCAGGCGCGCGGUCUCGCCGGGCCAGUCAGCGCCGCGCCAUGUCCGCAGCGCGGGAGGAGGGAACGCCGGGCGCGGGGUUGCGGGGCCGCGGCGUCGCCGCCUUCCCGGCCGCGGCUGCUCCGGCCUGGGCUGCGCUGGGCUCUUGGGGCCGGGCCGGCGACUGGGCGCAGGCCGAGGGCGGCGGCGGCGGCGGCGAGGCCCGACCGACGGGAAGGGCAGGGGAAGCUGUCAGCGCGUCGCCGGGCCGCUCCGGUGGCGAAACCUCCUCUUCCUGCCCCGGCUCGCUGGUGCACUUCUCUCUCUUUCUCUCUCGCUCACUCUCUCACUUCCUGGCUGGAAAUUCCCACUGACGUCGAGAGAAGACAGACAGACGGACACACGCGCGCAAGGCGCGGGGGCGGGAGGUGGGGUCGCCGCCGGGGGUGGGGAAAGCCCGCACUCCUGUGGGGCCGCGCGACCCCGGCCCGGCCCCGCCUGCCGGCUCGGCGAGCGCCCCCUGAGCCGCUGUGGGGCGCAGGCGAGGGGCGAGCGCUCGGCGGGCAGGAUGCCGGGGUCCCUCGCCGGCGCUCCCGGAGCCCUGAGGGCAGAAGCGGACGGGGACGCCUCCUGCAAGCGCCUGAGGGGCCAAGUCUUCCUGAGAAGAGGGAGGCGCGGAGGCGGCGGCCGUGCGGCUGUCCAGAGUUGAGCGGUCCAGAGCCCCUAAGGACAGGCCCGAGCAUCUGGAGGGAUGAUGGGUCGGCAUGGGGCCAAGCAUGCUGUGUAUAA